rnacentral:rRNA from 1 species
GAUGAACGCUGGCGGCGUGCUUAACACAUGCAAGUCGAACGGUGAAAGAGAGCUUGCUCUCUGGAUCAGUGGCGAACGGGUGAGUAACACGUGAGCAACCUGCCCCGGACUCUGGGAUAACAGCUGGAAACAGCUGCUAAUACCGGAUACGAGCUGCGAAGGCAUCUUCAGCAGCUGGAAAGAACUUCGGUCUGGGAUGGGCUCGCGGCCUAUCAGCUAGUUGGUGAGGUAACGGCUCACCAAGGCGUCGACGGGUAGCCGGCCUGAGAGGGGAACCGGCCGCACGGGGACUGAGACACGGCCCAGACUCCUACGGGAGGCAGCAGUGGGGAAUAUUGCACAAUGGGCGAAAGCCUGAUGCAGCAACGCCGCGUGAGGGACGACGGCCUUCGGGUUGUAAACCUCUUUUAGCAGGGAAGAAGCGAAAGUGACGGUACCUGCAGAAAAAGCACCGGCUAACUACGUGCCAGCAGCCGCCGUAAGAC